rnacentral:rRNA from 1 species
AAAGCGCACGUAGGCGGAUCUUUAAGUCAGAGGUGAAAUCCCAAGGCUCAACCUUGGAACUGCCUUUGAUACUGGGGAUCUCGAGUCCGGAAGAGGUGAGUGGAACUCCGAGUGUAGAGGUGAAAUUCGUAGAUAUUCGGAAGAACACCAGUGGCGAAGGCGGCUCACUGGUCCGGUACUGACGCUGAGGUGCGAAAGCGUGGGGAGCAAACAGGAUUAGAUACCCCAGU